rnacentral:rRNA from 1 species
AUUGAACGCUGGCGGCAGGCCUAACACAUGCCAGUCGAGCGGAUGAAGGGAGCUUGCUCCUGGAUUCAGCGGCGGACGGGUGAGUAAUGCCUAGGAAUCUGCCUGGUAGUGGGGGAUAACGUCCGGAAACGGGCGCUAAUACCGCAUACGUCCUGAGGGAGAAAGUGGGGGAUCUUCGGACCUCACGCUAUCAGAUGAGCCUAGGUAGGAUUAGCUAGUUGGUGGGGUAAAGGCCUACCAAGGCGACGAUCCGUAACUGGUCUGAGAGGAUGAUCAGUCACACUGGAACUGAGACACGGUCCAGACUCCUACGGGAGGCAGCAGUGGGGAAUAUUGGACAAUGGGCGAAAGCCUGAUCCAGCCAUGCCGCGUGUGUGAAGAAGGUCUUCGGAUUGUAAAGCACUUUAAGUUGGGAGGAAGGGCAGUAAGUUAAUACCUUGCUGUUUUGACGUUACCAACAGAAUAAGCACCGGCUAACUUCGUG